UAAAGCUGGAGAACCGAAUGUG
rnacentral:miRNA from 1 species